rnacentral:rRNA from 1 species
GACGAACGCUGGCGGCGUGCUUAACACAUGCAAGUCGAACGAUGAUGCGGCGCUUGCGCCGUUGAUUAGUGGCGAACGGGUGAGUAACACGUGAGUAACCUGCCCCCUUCUUCGGGAUAACGGUCUGAAAGGGCUGCUAAUACCGGGUAUUCACUGGUCUCCGCAUGGGGGCUGGUGGAAAGGUUGUUUUUCUGGUGGGGGAUGGGCUCGCGGCCUAUCAGCUUGUUGGUGGGGUGAUGGCCCACCAAGGCUUUGACGGGUAGCCGGCCUGAGAGGGUGACCGGUCACAUUGGGACUGAGAUACGGCCCAGACUCCUACGGGAGGCAGCAGUGGGGAAUAUUGCACAAUGGGCGCAAGCCUGAUGCAGCGACGCCGCGUGAGGGAUGGAGGCCUUCGGGUUGUGAACCUCUUUCGCCCGUGGUCAAGCCGCGAUCGUGGGUCGUGGUGAGGGUAGUGG